UAUAUCAGCAGUUUUUUUUCAUUUCUAAGGAUCUGAAAGUUUUAAUUAUUUCUGCUGGGCUAACAACGCUGAAUUUGAAAUUUUGUAUACAUUCCUUAACAUUUUCCAAAAGAAGUGACUCGGCAACACUGGUGGAGGAGACAAGGGUGCUUGAGAUGGAAACUGGAAUGUCAGAAAAAAAUUCUCAAAAGCAGAAGCUACUUCCUACUCAGAGUGGAUUUUUGCAUUGUUUAUUAUUAGAUUAUAUUCAAACUUGCAGUCUUUCGCUCUUCCAGAUUCCCAGUUAAUAACUUUCCAAGUCAUUUUUAUUUUAUUUGAAGCAUUUUUAAUUAUUUCUCUAAUAUGCAUUGACUUAGCAAUAGUACAUACUUUCUUAAAUAAAUAAAGCAUUUAAACUUUAAAUAUAUAAAACGACAGCGAAACAACGCACUUAAUGAAAGAGAUGACAUAACAAUAUGGCGGCGAAAAUAUUUGAAAUCUAUUAAAGACUAUAGAUAACAAAAUCGCCAGAUAAUUUACAUGGGUGAAUGCAGGUUAGUGUGUUUUUUUUUAUUGCAGUGAAACGGCAGACUACCAUACGGUUCGCCUGAUUGUAAGCAAAUACCGUCGCCUUUACCGUCAAGUGAUGUGUAUGAUACUGCAAAUCUAUUUGCAAAAUAUAACCCACGCGCCUCCGACCUUGAGACGUUAGUUCUUAAGGGCUAUCACAAGACAUACCGUAAAUAAAACUUGGGUAGACAAACAAGUUAAAAGUAAGAAGCAGGCUUUCCUAGAAGGACUUAGCAUUGGUGCACGUAACCCAACGUCAAAAGGUAAACGAUUAAUAAUUGCCCAUAUCGGCAAUGAGAACGGUUUUGUAAAGGGCGGUGAAAAUAUAUUUGAAUGCAAGAAGACGGGAGAUUACCAUGAAUCAAUGGAUGAAACACAUUUUGAACAAUGGUUUGAAAACGUUCUCCCAAAACUUGGAAAAAAUGCAGUAGUGGUAAUGGACAAUGUACCAUACCACUCAAGGCGUCUUAAAAGAAUUCCUAGUACUGCCUGGAAAAAAAAUGAUAUACAAAAUUGGCUUGUAAGUAAGAAUAUUUCUUACGACGACAAUGAAAUUAAGACAGAAUUACUGCUAAAAGUAAAAAAUGUUAAAGACAAUUUUAAAACAUAUGUGGACGAGCUCGCAAAAAAAUAUAAGGUGGAAGUAUUGAGACUCCCGCCAUAUCAUUGUGAGCUUAAUCCAAUUGAGCUAAUUUGGGCCAACGUAAAAGGAUAUGUUGCUCGCAAAAAUACAAAUUUUAAAUUUGACGAGGUAAAACAGUUAUUACAAGAGGGACUCCAACAGAUUACUUCGGAAAAUUGGAAGCGUUGUCUGGAGCAUGUUAUCAAGGAAGAAGAUAAUUUUUAUUCCAAAAUCGAUGAGGUGAUUGAUAAAACUGUAGACAGCUUCGUGAUACAUGUCACUGAUUCUGACACAGAAAUGGAAACAUCUGAAUCUGACGAAUAAAAAAAAAAAAAUCUUAAAUAAUACAUGUUAAUUAAUAUUUGUUACUUAAUAAUUUAUUAAAUCUUAAACAAAU